UUUACACUUAAUUCUGAUGUAUUUUAAACCACGUGAUGUAGUGUAUCUGUCUAGUCUCUUCUAGUCCAUUAAGUUUAGAAAUGAACAUAUUUUGAACUCACUUAGAUUAUGCGUGAUAUGAAUACAUUAAAUGAUUUGUUACAGAUACAAAACACUAUAGUACAAUUUCUAUUAACAGUUAAAUAUCUAUGUAGCAGCCAUUAUUUUGGUCCCAUUAUCUCAUUUGAAAGCCAGAUUUGUAUACAAUAAAUUCAAUAAUCAACGUAAAUAUUCUGACUUGGCGUCUAAUAUGGAUAUUGAAUAAUGUGUAAAAUAUGAAAUAAUUUAAUUGAAGUUAUAUGAAAAAAAUUCGUAA